UACGUAGGGUGCAAGCGUUGUCCGGAAUUAUUGGGCGUAAAGAGCUCGUAGGCGGUCUGUCGCGUCGGAUGUGAAAACCCAGGGCUCAACCCUGGGCCUGCAUUCGAUACGGGCAGACUAGAGUUCGGUAGGGGAGACUGGAAUUCCUGGUGUAGCGGUGAAAUGCGCAGAUAUCAGGAGGAACACCUGUGGUGUAGACGGCUUCCUGGACCACAACUGACGCUGAGACACGAAAGCGUGGGGAGCAAACAGG
rnacentral:rRNA from 1 species